GUGAUUAAAUCGAGCGUGUCUUCAUUGACCGCUCACCCUUCUCACCAUCCACAUACACCUGUGCACUGUUUAGCCUGAGCCGGUUUUCCGGUCCAGGUUAUCAUUUCAUACAAACGCUAGUCUUAUGAAUGUAAACGUUUUAAUAACAUAAUA
rnacentral:misc_RNA from 1 species